AAUCUCAGCCGUCCAUCACGAUUUAAUAUGGACCGUCCGAUCGCGAUUAAAAUGGGAAUAAAUCUGGACCGUCCGUGUGUGAUUCAAUCUGGGUCGUCCGCACGCGUGAGAUCUGGGCCGUCCGUGCGCGAGAUCUGGGCCGUCCGUAAGCGUGAGAUCUGGACCAUUCGAUCGCGUGCACGCGGAUCACUCACGUGGUUCUGUCCCGCAUGGCCUCCCGCAUCAGCUUCCUUGCCACGCGGCAUGUUCUGGUUGGCUGGGGCUGCUGACUAGCCUGCCGAUAUGGCUGCUGACGUGGCACAACUUUCUUAAAUUACGUUUUGACCCCCGAUUUUUGAUUUUCCUUUCAAAAACACCCCCAGAAUCCAAAUUUUCACCCUUUUUU
rnacentral:lncRNA from 1 species